rnacentral:rRNA from 1 species
AACAAACGCUGGCGGCGUGCCUAACGCAUGCAAGUCGUACGAGAAAGGGUCCUUCGGGGCCUGAGUAAAGUGGCGCACGGGUGAGUAACGCGUGGAUAAUCUGCCCUUCAGUUGGGAAUAACUCAUCGAAAGGUGGGCUAAUACCGAAUAAUGCUGUGAGACCUCGGUUGAUCAGCCAAAGAGAGCCUCUGCUUGCAAGCCCUCGCGGAAGGCUGAUUCCGCGUACCAUUAGCUAGUUGGUAGGGUAAUGGCCUACCAAGGCGACGAUGGUUAGCUGGUCUGAGAGGAUGAUCAGCCACACUGGAACUGAGACACGGUCCAGACUCCUACGGGAGGCAGCAGUGAGGAAUCUUGCGCAAUGGGGGCAACCCUGACGCAGCAACGCCGCGUGAGUGAGGAAGGUCUUCGGAUCGUAAAGCUCUGUCGGAUGGAAAGAACCGCAUAGGGGUAAACAGCCCCUGUGUCUGACGGUACCAUCAAAGGAAGCACCGGCUAACUCCGUGCCAGCCGCCGCCGUAAUAC